rnacentral:rRNA from 1 species
UCUCCGGUUCGAAAACCAACAAAAUAGAACCGAGAUCGUAUUCUAUUAUUCCAUGCACCAUUAUUCAGGCAUCACAACCUGCUUUGAGCACUCUAAUUUUUUCAAAGUAAAAUCUCGAGGCACCAUUGACACUCAAUGAAGAGCAACAACAGCAACCACGAAUGAAGAUCUCGAGCAACCGUGCCACACCUAUGUAGGGGGACUGUUGUCUAAGACCACAAUUCAACUACGAGCGUUUUAACCGCAGCAACUUUAAUAUACGCUAUUGGAGCUGGAAUUGUGGUCUUAGACAACAGUCCCCCUACAUAGGUGUGGCACGGUUGCUCGAGAUCUUCAUUCGUGGUUGCUGUUGUUGCUCUUCAUUGAGUGUCAAUGGUGCCUCGAGAUUUUACUUUGAAAAAAUUAGAGUGCUCAAAGCAGGUUGUGAUGCCUGAAUAAUGGUGCAUGGAAUAAUAGAAUACGAUCUCGGUUCUAUUUUGUUGGUUUUCGAACCGGAGAUAAUGAUUGAAAGGAACAGACGGGGGCAUUCGUAUUGCUGCGUUAGAGGUGAAAUUCUUGGAUCGCAGCAAGAUGAACAAUUGCGAAAGCAUUUGCCAAGAAUGUUUUCAUUAAUCAAGAACGAAAGUUAGAGGUUCGAAGGCGAUCAGAUACCGCCCUAGUUCUAACGGUAAACUAUGCCAACCAGCGAUUCGCCGAAGUUCAUUUAAGACUCGGCGAGCAGCUUCCGGGAAACCAAAGUGUUUCGGUUCCGGGGGAAGUAUGGUUGCAAAGCUGAAACUUAAAGGAAUUGACGGAAGGGCACCACCAGGAGUGGAGCCUGCGGCUUAAUUUGACCCAACACGGGAAAACUCACCCGGCCCGGACACUGGAAGGAUUGACAGAUUGACAGCUCUUUCUUGAUUCAGUGGGUAGUGGUGCAUGGCCGUUCUUAGUUGGUGGAGCGAUUUGUCUGGUUAAUUCCGAUAACGAACGAGACUCUACCCUAUUAAAUAGUGACAGUAUUGUAUUUUUUGUGCUGAUCACUUCUUAGAGGGACUGGCAAAUUGAAAGCUGCACGAAAAAGAGCAAUAACAGGUCUGUGAUGCCCUUCGAUGUCCGGGGCUGCACGCGCGCUACAAUGAAAGCGUCAACGUGAGUUACGUCCUUACCUGAAAAGGUUUGGCAAUCGAAUGAAACGUUUUCUUGAAUGGAAUAGGGAAUUGCAAUUGUUUCCCUUGAACGAGGAAUUCCCAGUAAGCGUGAGUCAUUAGCUCGCGUUGAUUACGUCCCUGCCCUUUGUACACACCGCCCGUCGCUACUACCGAUUGGAUGAUUUAGUGAGGUGUUUUGACUGGCGCCAGUAGUCGGAUGUAUUCGGCUUCGCGCCGGGAAAUUUCCCAAACCAAAUCAUCUAGAGGAAGUAAAAGUCGUAACAAGGUUUCCGUAGGUGAACCUGCGGAAG